AUUGCCCUAGUAACGGCGAGUGAAGCGGCAACAGCUCAAAUUUGAAAUCUGGCCCCUUCGGGGUCCGAGUUGUAAUUUGCAGAGGGUGCUUUGGCGUUGGCAGCGGUCUAAGUUCCUUGGAACAGGACAUCGCAGAGGGUGAGAAUCCCGUAUGUGGUCGCAUGCCUCCGCCGUGUAAAGCCCCUUCGACGAGUCGAGUUGUUUGGGAAUGCAGCUCUAAAUGGGAGGUAAAUUUCUUCUAAAGCUAAAUACCGGCCAGAGACCGAUAGCGCACAAGUAGAGUGAUCGAAAGAUGAAAAGCACUUUGGAAAGAGAGUCAAACAGCACGUGAAAUUGUUGAAAGGGAAGCGCUUGCAGCCAGACUUGCCUGUAGUUGCUCACCCGGGCUCCUGCCCGGGGCACUCUUCUGCAGGCAGGCCAGCAUCAGUUUGGGCGGUCGGAUAAAGGGCUCUGACACGUACUUCCCCUCGGGGUUGACAUACAGGGGAGCCGCAAUGCGAUCAGCCCGGACUGAGGUCCGCGCAUCUGCUAGGAUGCUGGCGUAAUGGCUGUAAGCGGCCCGUCUUGAAACACGGACCAAGGAGUCUAACAUCUAUGCGAGUGUUUGGGUGUCAAGCCCGAGCGCGUAAUGAAAGUGAACGGAGGUGGGAACCCCUUUCGGGGUGCACCAUCGACCGAUCCUGAUGUCUUCGGAUGGAUUUGAGUAAGAGCAUAGCUGUUGGGACCCGAAAGAUGGUGAACUAUGCUUGAAUAGGGUGAAGCCAGAGGAAACUCUGGUGGAGGCUCGCAGCGGUUCUGACGUGCAAAUCGAUCGUCAAAUUUGGGCAUAGGGGCGAAAGACUAAU
rnacentral:rRNA from 1 species